GCCACAGACCCACAGUAAUGCGUUCAAGGUUUGUUUUGUGACCACAUUUGGGCAGAGCACUACCACGCUACAUUCCCCAGGGUGCAGCGGCCCGCUGGACACUGAGAACGGCUGAAACCAUCAGUUUGUCUGCUGAUUGAUUUGGGUCGGUCAGACUCCUCCCCACUCAUUGUCAUUCAUAUGUGAAACCGAAGGCCCAGCGGACAAGGAAUAGUCUGCCACCGAAAAUCAGGAAGGCGGACUGCUGGGAAAUUCCAUCCAAACGGAAAACCUUCCUCUUGAAUCUCCGUAUGGCUGAAGAGUGAAUACUUGAGGCAGAGGAGGAUGAGGAGGAUCAACAUAAAUGAACAGGGAGGAAGGGCGUUGACAACAUGUUGUUGGGAGAAACUUCCUUACCAAAUAUCUCUCCCAAAAGACUAGAGAUCUCACAGGGCCUGAGUUCUAGUCCAUGCGUUCUAUAACUCGAUUAUGUACUCUGCUUUUCAUCUGCUUUCAAAAACACGAUGUAUGAGAUGAACAUAUAUGGCUCUCUGUGGAAGCCAAGUCAAAGCAGAGAGAGAAGAGGGAUGGAGAAAAAGAUGUGUUCAGAGAGGAAGCCAUAGAGAGAGAGAAACAGGCAGAGAGAGCUAGAGGACGAAGCCAGAGAGAGAGAGAAACAGGCAGAGAGCUAGAGGACGAAGCCAUAGAGAGAGAGAAACAGGCAGAGAGCUAGAGGACGAAGCCAUAGAGAGAGAGAAACAGGCAGAGAGCUAGAGGACGAAGCCAUAGAGAGAGAGAAACAGGCAGAGAGAGCUAGAGGACGAAGCCAUAGAGAGAGAGAAACAGGCAGAGAGCUAG